ACCCAAAUAGCUCAGUUGGCAGAGCGUUAGACUAUAGAUCGAAAGGUCCCUUGUUCGAUCCCGGGAUUCGGCA
rnacentral:tRNA from 1 species